UCAAUGCUUUAUUACAGAGUGAGAUGGAGAGGUAGGUAUGGGAGAUAGAGGGGAGGACAUGCAGCAAAUGACCACGGGCAGGACUCGAACCCGGGUCGCUGCGUUCAGGACUGAGCCUAUAUGGUACGCCCUCUACCCGGUGAGCCACCGGGGCGCCCCACAAUGCAUUGGUGUCUGUACAGUAAGGAUGUUCAUGGAACCAAGUACCAAGCACCAAUAAUCGCAAGGUUAACCCAUUCCCCCGUAAUACCCAUAUACAACAAAGACAGCUAGGAUAAUGUUCUAAUGUUCCUCUGCAUGACCACGCUUUGAUUUAGACGUUGGCUCACAUGCCUUGAUUGUCUCCAUUCCGUUGUGCUCGCUCUAGCUCUGCGUUGCCCCACCCUCCCUUAAUGACGAGCUCCUAUGGGUGCACUUAUACGUUGGGCUGCUCUCUCUACCAGGAAGGUAUCGGACCUGUUUACAGGCCCGAGUCGUCUCGGCGGUAAAUGGAGCGGAAACAUCCCUUCAGCGCCGUGACAAUUAGGAUCAAUCAUGUCCGAUUAUACUGAAGGCUCUCCUCAUUCCUGCAGUGUGUUACACGCAGCGUUGGAAACGGCUCCCAGAGCACAGGUUCAAAGGAGAUCUGACGCCUCUAAUCCUAAACCCCAGUGUGGGAAAUCACAAAAAACAAGCAAAAACAUUUGGGGCUUUUAUUUAAUCACGUACAAUUGAAUAUCAAGAACACUUAAAAACACUGUGAAGGAAUAUCCAAUAUCCAAGUACACAAAAAUAAAUGGAAAAACACUUACACAACACUCUUCAAGUGUCAGGUGUUCUCAUGGUUUGACAAAGCCUCAGUGUCUGGUCCUUGAUCUAUUUUCACCUCGCCACCCUUCCAUUUAUUUCCAUUUGUUUAUUAGUUUGUUCUUAUUUGGGACUCGGCUGGUUUUAAGCAGCAUGACCUCAUGGGGUUCAAGGUGUCAGGCAUUGGAUGACAUCCCUCCUGUUCCGGAUUCCAACCGGUUGUGAAAUACAAUUUACAGGUCAUUAGGGAUCAUUACAAUAAACAAGCUGUCAUGAAAUUGCCAAGAACCCCAAAUUUCACAAUCACUAAACUGCAUUGACAGAUCUGUUGCUUCACUUCUUCGUCAAGUUGACAAAUGUCAGCCGUAAGACAGUAAAAGAAAAAAGUGCUACAUUUUUAUAUCAACAAACAACAGUCUAUUUCAAAUCAUAUCUGUCCAAUAAUGUUCCCUAUUCUAUAAUGGACUAUGGCUAACUGUUUGGACAAGAUGGCGUGGCCACACAGUCCCUAAUACCCCAACACUCCACUCCGGCGUUAUCUGACCCCAAUGCCGCUCAUCUGUGAGUCAUUACUACCUUCUUUUAUUGAAGGCAGUAGGCGGAGAAAUCCUACAAUGAACUAAUAGUCAACUCCUGGCCUCCUGUUUAACGCUCUGCCUGCUGUGAACGUUGCCCGGGGAACCGUGGGCUUGGAGGCCGGCCUGACUGCUCCCGUCUGCUGGGCAACUCAGGCUAAUUAGCGAACCCAGAAGUCUGACUCAAACUGGGACACAUGGGCAAUGUUGACUCUUAAUUUAACACAUGAGAACGGUUUAUAAGUGCUGUAGCUCUAAACCAUAACAUUAUACACUACACAAGUGGUUUCCGGGACAUUCUUUGUACACAAACUAGCCGAAACUCAGAACUCAACCCUUAGUGUGUGCGAUUGUGUAGUUAUGCUUCAGCCAAUCACAAAGCAGUGUGUCCGUCCUUGUGAUGUCUCAGUCUUUUCCCUCGGUCUACACUGACUGACGUACUUCCUUGUAACGUGUCACUCUUGAUGUAUUAAAAAUUCAGGAGAAGCCAUCAUGAUUUGCAUUUCCCCUUCAGGGAAAACCUUGUUUUUGCACGUUUUUGUUUGUGUCACACUGAAAGUUCCUCAUACCAUUACCUUAUCUUCCCGUCAAUGUGCCGCGGUGCGCUGACUUGCAUCCUGUGUGUCAUACCUGGAAUUGUUGUGAAAUAUGUUUUUUUUAUCACCCCAGGGUGUUUACAGUAGGUGUGACUUGAUCGGGUGAUAUGUCACAAAGCAGACAGUAAACUGCAGGCGCGAAUACAUCUACAUCCCUGAAAUCCCAGUUGACCGUGGGGUCCGUUGAUGUCAGAUUGCACCACAGUAGGGACACCUGCCACUUGGCAGAAGAACAACAAUGGCGUCAUUGUGGUGCAUUCUUUAGUGCUUGCCCACUCUGAAAGGGCGGUUAAAGAUGUGGAACAGCGCCUUGGCAUUCUUAAUCGAACUAUGGUGCGAUUCUGUUCUGCAGCCUUAUUCGAUUUGGCACUGAGAUUGCCUUACACUGCUUCAAGUGUGACUCUAGUUGAGUUAUCACGGUUUCUUCUCGGUCUUUGAUCAUGGCUUUAAAACCUGCUAAGCCAAGAGAAGUAGGUUGUGUGGUCGAUUGGUUCCAGUCCUCAGAAUCCUGUCUUUCGGGCUGUGUCUGGAAUGUGUGUCAGACGGGGUAAGAUCGGAGAAAACUGGGACAGCUGAGCCAAGAAAAGACAAGAGAGCGGGCUUGAUAGGGAACCUGCCCUCAGUUUGUGUGUGUGUGUGUGUGUGUGUGUGUGUGUGUGUGUGUGUGUGUGUGUGUGUGUGUGUGUGUGUGUGUGUGUGUGUGUGUGUGUGUGUGUGUGUGUGUGUGUGUGUGUGUGUGUGUGUGAGAGGCUCUUUGAGGCCACAUGUAAGCUGGUCAUGUCCUGAUAGAGGGGCCACACACACGCACACACAAUGGAUCGUUUUUUAAGCCAACAACGUUUGACAUGUUCUCCAACGUUUUUCGGACGAGUCAAAAACAGCGACUAUGACGAAAUCAUGUCGUCUAUUCAUGCAUUUUCGGCUCGGUUAUCUGAUCAGUUGUGUCUGCCCGCGUGCUAUGUAGGGAGUGCUUGAUUUGACACUCUCUGCCAGGGACGCUAUCAUGCACCGAGACGCUCCAUUCCUGUUGCUAUCUGCUGUUGCAUCUGCUGGCUGCUUAUUUCUUCAGAAUCGGGCGACGGAGAUAUUCUUGCUAAAAACUUAGCGUGAUUAUUGCGACGAUAGAACUGAAGCGGUUGUACAAUAACCGCUUGUUCCUGCCUGGCACUUUACUAUUUUAUUUGUGUUCCUUCCUUGUGAACGGUUAGUGCUGAUGUUUCCUCCUGAUUUUGACCUGCCGCUGAACCUGCCAGCUCGCCCCGGCGGGAUUAACCGGGACAACACCUCAGGGCUGUUCUGGGGAACACAGAGAGGAUCCCGGGGAGGGGGUGAGGGGGCUCAGGGGGUGCUAUUGCAUGGAAAAGUAGAUCAGAGAGAGUCUGAACUUCUCAGGAGAACACGAGAUAAGUGCGAAAAUGCCUCGGCAGCUUAAAUUGAGGAGUGCGGCGGUGGGGUGGGGUGGGUUGGGGGAGGGUGGUGGGGUAAACCCUCUCUGACCUGAAUAUGCACCGUGAUGCAAAGCUGAUGCCACAUCUGCAGUGAUAGUACGGUACUGUAAAAGUACAAUGAGACAAUUUAAUGUACGGAGCAAAUUAGCAUUUUUGUUUUAAAUCUCCCUGGAGACCUGUGCGCUACCCAAAUAGAGUUUCCCAACAUAUUAUUGAUAAUAUUUUAAGUGAUAAAGGAGAAGUCCCUUCAAGCGUUUUCAGGUCUAUUUUCAGAAUUUUAAGAGUUAUAAUGUGAUUUGGAAACUAUAACUUUCCCAGAGUUAAAACUUAAAUCCCUUUAAAUCUUUUUCCUAUUGCAUCUCUCAACUAAGCCCACAGGAAGCUCCCAAAAAAUCCAUAACCCACAUUCUGCCAAUUAAGGCCGGGCCUGCUCACACAUAAUGACCCUACACUAUAAUAAACACGGGGCAUGAGGAAUAAAGAGGUUUAACAACGCCGAACGAAGCCCCUCAAGCGCUCAUCCUCUACGAGAAAGAGGGGAACGAGUCGGACCACACAGAGCACGAGGAGCAGAGGAAGGCAGGGACUCCCGCUGGGGCUCCUGAACGGUGGCUUCCUGCCCCCCUGGGUGUCAUUCAUUCAUUAGGAGGAGGAGGAGGGAGGAGUGGGGGUCCGCAAGUUGGAGACCGAGGCUGAGGUAACAGAGGAGGAGCAGAGGCAGGGAACCUCACGCAAGCUAGAAGCACUAGAAUUGAAUGUGGGGGAGAGAGAGAGAGAUCCAGUCAGGUCCAGCUGUCAGCUUCAUGGCUCUUGGAUCUUGUUCAGCGCUCUCUCCUCCUCACUUUCCCUGGCGGCGGCCCGGUAGCUCGUUAGCAUGCGCGCGCUACAACCACACACAGGCGGCACAGGCUAUUCACACCCGCACGCCGAUCUCUCGCCCUUUCGCGCGCUCUCUCUCUGUCUCUCUGUCUCUCUGUCUCUCUGUCUCUCUGUCUCUCUGGCUCUCGCUCUCGCUCUCUUUUCCUCUCUUGCUCUCUUUUCCUCUCUUGCUCUCUCUUGCUCGCUCUUCCCUCUAGUGUCUCCUUCCUCUUCUCCUGUAUCUUCUGUCUUUUGCUUAUGCAUGUGUAAUAGAUCCUUUGCUCUUUAUUCUUUUGUUACUCUUUGAGGCAUCUACAUAAGCAUCAGUGCACAGUGUGAACCCUUUAGAUUGAAUAAUAGCAACCUUUCCCCUCAUCUGAAAACGAUAAGCAGCGAAAGAACUGAAACUCUGUCCUGUUGGCAGUGUGGCCGACUGAAAGAACAGCCAGUUAACUUCACAUCUGGUUUGUUUAUUGGUUUGUUUAGUUUGCUGACCUUUUUAAUCAGUGUCGGCCGUGGCUUUGAGAAAGUUAUUGGUUAAUGUGGCUAUGUACUGAACAUACUAGUAGAAAGUUAUUGGUUAAUGUGGAUAUCUACUGAACAUACUAGUAGAAAGUUAUUGGUUAAUGUGGAUAUACUGAACAUACUAGUAGAACGUUAUUGGUUAAUAUGGAUACGUACUGAACAUACCAAGAGAAAGGAAUCGGUUAAUAUGGAUAUGUACUGAACAAGCUAGUAUAAAGUUAUUGGUUCAGAUGGAUGUGUACAUACCAACCUACUAAUAUAAAUGAAUUGGUUAAUAUGGAUAAUAUGUACAUACCCAACAUACUAGAAGAAACAUAUUGGUUAAAAUGGAUUUGUAAAUACUGACAUAGACAUGUACCGUCCAAAAAACAGUCCUUGGCUUGUGUUUGGGAAAGACUACCCACACACCGUGCACCGGGCUAACGCGUAGAGUUUUGAUAUCCCACUGUGUGAAUCUGACUCAGUCUCUGUAGUACUGGAUGAGAACGAAUAAAAAAAAUAGUUAUGUCCAGCGAGGGUGGGUCAACAUCUGCCUGGCGGGGAACAUGUGACUCCUUGAGGGAGGGGUGGAUGGGCGGUGGGGAGAGAAGCGCAAUCGAGGUCCUUCCUGUUAGUAUUCAGGCCACACGGCACUGCAUUGCAGCGGCGUGUGGCCUGCGUCAGUGGCCCACUGACAUACAUACGCAGACAUACAUACACACACUCGUACGCAUACACACAUACACACACUCGUACACAUACACUCAUGCAUACAUGCACGCAUGCAUGCACUCAUACACACUCGUACACAAUCACGUAUAAAUACGCAGACAUACAUGCACAGGCAUGCAUACAGACACACACACACUCGUUCACAUACACAAAAAAAUACACACACACACACACACACACACACACACACGCACACACACACACACACACACACACACACACACACACACACACACACCUGUCGUUUGAUCAUAAAUGUUGCUGACGAGCUUCUCAGCCAGCAGUCUCUGCGUAUCUUAGUUGAACGGACUGUUAGACAUUUCAACUCCCUCAUUCAUAACCAAACUACCAAGUACAGUACAUCUACACUUUGUAGCUUUGAUUUGAUCAGAUCCACUACAACGGGUCAAAGUGAGCUUUGGUUCACAUCAGGUGCUACAUUAACUCAGCAUAUGAAGGGGCCUUUACUAAAUACGAUUAAAUUGCAUGGCUGUUGCCGGAGAAUCACUUGUGAUCCGAGUGUAAUCGGGACACCUGAUUCCUGAUUACUCCGGGAUCAUGAUCUGAACUCCUUCAUUUUUUUAAAUGAUUAUUCUUACCUCACUCAAUGGGAGAAUAUAUCCUCUUAUCUACCAGAACUGGAGUUCUGUUCCACUGCAACCAGAAAGUAGCAGGAUUUUACCGAGGGGAGUCAGUCAUAACAAGGCCUACAUUGGAGGGUUUCUGCAGUUUGUCAGAGGACAGGAGGAAAGUUAUUGUUGUUUUUUUUAAAUCCAUCUUCCCUCCUGUCCUCACGGGGACAGCUGUCACCCGUAUGGGUGGGUGGGGGGGAAGGUGUGUCUCUCUGUGUGUGUGUGUGUGUUUCUCAGUGUGCGUGCGUGUCUCAGUGUGUGUGUGUGUGUGGUAUUUGAAUGUGUUGGGCUAGGAAAAUGGGCAGUGGAAGCAGCUGACUGGCUGUCAGCAUCUAUUGACUGCUUGGUUAUGAACGGAAAUGUACACAAACCCCCGGAGCUGAUAAGAGGCAGGUUUCCAAGGUCUCCUGGAAGUCCCUGCUGCUAAGGAAAAACGGUUUGACUGUUUGUUGUUCCGCGGUUAAUUGAACGAGCAGAACAACAACAUGUCCGCCAGCUAGCGGCCUUAUUUGAUUCAGUAGGAUGUGAUGUUUCUCUCGGGGGAUGUCUCAAAUGUUUAUCGUGGCUGAGGGAACGUUUUAGAGAAACGCAGAGACGCCAGAGGACGUGAAUUAACGAACCCAGCCAGCCUUGACAUGAGACCACAACAAACCAGAAACAUGGGGUUUAAAACCCUGCCCAAACAAACUGUGCAUGAAAUACAACAUAUGUGCUUGUACGCAUGGUUCGUCAAGAUCCAGCACCGCUAAUGGAACAAACUACCAGUAGAUGCAUGAUUGGGAUGUAAAUAAUCCCUACCUAGGUAAAUUCAUCUUCAUCAGUCUUUGUGUGUGUGGGUGUGUGUGUGUGUGUGUGUGUGACGAGCUGCUCCUCAGUGUGACGGAGGUAAUAUAUGGAGGCUGAGCUGCAGCACAGCCCAACACGGUGCUGGUGGCUGAGCGGAUGAAUGACUCCUCGCUGUCGCUGCUGCGUGGGUGGGGUGGCGUCGCCGGGACAUGCCGGUCUCUCGGCUCCGGCGCUGUGUGUGUGUGUGUGUGUGUGUGUGUGUGCGUGCGUGUGUGCGUGUGUGUCAUUAGUCCCAUGUGUUUCCCAAAGUCGUCCGUGGAAUGUAAAGCAGCCUGGUCUUCCCUCUAGUCUCUAUUCCUCUCCUUCUUGGGGUGAGCACCCUGCUGUUUUCGGAGCGCCACGGUCCUCUUCGACCUCAACCUUGCGCUGUAGAGGGUUGGCUGAGUCUUCUUAUGAAGAUGGUGUGCGGUGGGGAACACCAGCACUGCCCUUGCGUUCUUCUCUAUGAAAAGGUUUCUGAGCUGCUUUGAUAGUAAUGUGCAAAAUUGCAUUGGCAGUGUUUGGUGCGGAUAAAUAUUGCUGUGGUCUAGAUAAAUUGUGACUGAUGGGGAAAUGACCAGUAGGGAGGUGGGUGUGUGUGUGUGUGUGUGUGUGUGUGUGUGUGUGUGUGUGUGUGUGUGUGUGUGUGUGUGUGUGUGUGUGUGUGUGUGUGUGUGUGUGUGUGUGUGUGUGUGUGUGUGUGUGUGUGUGUGUGUGUGUGUGUGUGUGUGUGUGUGUGUGUGUGUGUGGUGCAAUAAGAGCUGGUGCUAUUUCCAUCCAGGGGUCAGCUGGUGCUAGACAGAGCAGGAGACAUCUAGUGUCUGUGAUGGCAGACAUAUAAUCCUUGCCCGUUUUUAAACAACAGUACACAAUCAGGGCUUUCCUUUUUCAAUACUCUCCACCCGAGUUUCACAUCCGGAAAUGUUUCCCCAAAAAACAGUUUAUCUUUGUACUAAAACUGCUAAGUUAGGUAUUAAUGUACUCCAAUUGAGUUUCACAUCCGAUAAUGUCAUCCUAAAAAAAAAAAAAUGUUUAGCUUCGUACUAAAACGGUUUAGUUAAUUAUUGAUGUAUGUUUAUGAUAGAAUAUUCAUUUGGUCUGUUUUGGAUAAAGUGAGACUAUUGACUGAAUUGAUUGAUACUAAAUCAGUUAAGUCAAUUAUUGAUGUUAUAUUUAUCAGGAAUAUUUUAUUGAUCCGUUUUGGAUAAAGACUAUUGACUGAAUUGAUUGACCGGUCUUUAAUGCGGUGUUAUACCAUCUUCAGUUGAGGCAGGCUUAUUGUUCGGCCUGUGUCCUGCGGCCCCUGUUUGCAUAUUCAGUUGGUGAAUUGAAUGUCAUUUGAACAACUGGCUGAGUCUUCCUCGGUCACGUGUCUUGGGCCUGAACGCGCACGCUAACACACAUAACACACAUAACACAUUUGCAUGGUGUUUUUCUAUUUCUUUA